UACGGGGGGAGCAAGCGUUGUUCGGAUUUACUGGGCGUAAAGGGCGCGUAGGCGGUCAGCACAAGUCAGUUGUGAAAUCUCCGGGCCUAACUCGGAAAGGUCAACUGAUACUGUGCGACUAGAGUGCAGAAGGGGCAACUGGAAUUCUCGGUGUAGCGGUGAAAUGCGUAGAUAUCGAGAGGAACACCUGCGGCGAAGGCGGGUUGCUGGGCUGACACUGACGCUGAUGCGCGAAAGCCAGGGGAGCAAACGGG
rnacentral:rRNA from 1 species